rnacentral:rRNA from 1 species
UACGUAGGGUGCAAGCGUUGUCCGGAAUUAUUGGGCGUAAAGAGCUCGUAGGCGGUUUGUUGCGUCGGCUGUGAAAUCCCGAGGCUCAACCUCGGGUCUGCAGUCGAUACGAGCAAACUAGAGUGUUGCAGGGGAGACUGGAAUUCCUGGUGUAGCGGUGAAAUGCGUAGAUAUCAGGAGGAAUACCGGUGGCGAAAGCGACUCUCUGGACGGCAACUGACGCUGAGGCACGGAAAGCCGUGGGGAGCAAACAGG